CUGAAUGAGUCACCCAUCUUGGAUGAAGUCGGCGUUUGGCCUGUGUGUCUGAAGGCUGUGUGCACGCCAGUUGCCCAAAUUUCCAGGUCCCAGCACUUGGACGCCAUGCAGUUCUACGAAGCCGUUUUGGCGCAGUCAUUUUGAUUAACAUCAACCUUGCUUAUGUUGAGAGUCGUGUGUCUUCUGCCAGCUUCCAUGGAUGCAGA